CUUGGAGGGAUUUCCUGUCUAAGGAUGAAGGACUGAAGGGCUGAUCACUUCAGGCCAGCAGGGUCUUUGCAUGCACCACCACAUCUGGCUAAUCAAGUGAAGAUGAGGCCAAACUGGAUGAAGGCGGGCCUGAAAUCCAACGACUGGUGACCUUAUAAGGAGGGAGAGCUUCAAAGACCCAGGCAGUCAUAGAGGGAAGAAGGGCAAGUGGCAAAGAAGACAGAGAUUGGGUUUCUGUUGCCACCGAGGCUGCCAGAAGAGGCAAGGAAGAAUCCUCCCCUAGAGCCUUCAGAGGCAGAUGCCUGGCCCUGCUGACGGUUUGGUUUUGAACUUUUAGCCUCCAGAACUGUGCAAGAAUAAAUUUAUGUUGUUUUAAGCCAUCA
rnacentral:lncRNA from 1 species